GGUUUUUUGAAUUAUAAUUUAAGAUUAGUUCUGCUCAAUGAUUUAGAUUAAAUAGCCGCAGUAUUUUGACUGUGCUAAGGUAGCAUAAUCAAUUGUUUUUUAAUUGAGAACUGGAAUGAAGGAAUUGAUGAGAUUAAGGCUGUCUAUUAUAGAGUAUUAAAAUUUAAAUUUUAAGUAAUAAUUCUUAAAUAAAAUUAUGGGACGAGAAGACCCUAUAGAAUUUAAUAUAGUUUUUUAAAAUAUAAGUAUAAAGAUUUAAUAAAAUUAAUAUUUUAUUGGGAGGAUAAUUAAAUUAAAUUAACUUUAAAAUUAAAAUUAAACAUUAAUUUAUGAUGUAUAUUAUUGAAUAAUUUUAUUAUAAAAAAUAAAAUUAAUAAAAAAUUAAUUACCUUAGGGAUAACAGCGUAAUAUUUUUAGAAAGAUCAUAUUGAUAAAAAUGUUUGCGACCUCGAUGUUGAAUUAAAAUAAAAAUUAAAUGAAGAAGUUUAAUAUUUUA
rnacentral:rRNA from 1 species